GAUGAAGAACGUAGCGAAAUGCGAUAAGUAAUGUGAAUUGCAGAAUUCCGUGAAUCAUCGAAUCUUUGAACGCAUAUUGCGCCCUCUGGUAUUCCGGGGGGCAUGCCUGUCCGAGCGUCAUUUCAACCCUCAAGCCCCCGGGUUUGGUGUUGGGGAUCGGCUCUGCCUUCUGGCGGUGCCGCCCCCGAAAUACAUUGGCGGUCUCGCUGCAGCCUCCAUUGCGUAGUAGCUAACACCUCGCAACUGGAACGCGGCGCGGCCAUGCCGUAAAACCCCAACUUCUGAAUGUUGACCUCGGAUCAGGUAGGAAUACCCGCUGAACUUAAGCAUAUCAAUAAGCGGAGGA
rnacentral:misc_RNA from 1 species